rnacentral:lncRNA from 1 species
CUGCGAGCAAUUUCUGAUGUCAUCAUGCUCGCGCAGGUGCGAUCAUGCAGACGUGUGAAACUCGAAAUAUCGCCACAAGACCAAAAAUACAUUUCUCUCUCGUAUCUGACAUUGUUUGCUUUCUGUAUAAUCGCAUACGGCGAGAGUGAAAACUUAAAAAUUCGCUCGUUAAACAUAGCUUGCGAAUUCGAUGAUGUCAAAAAUCACUCGGAUGCUCUAAAUUCGCAUCUGCAUGACCAUAGUCUUAUUUUGUUUUCGUCGGUCGUUUCGUUUUCCCGAUUCAAUUGUGAUUAAAAUGAUUAUUAAAUAUAAUUACAGUACUGGCC